rnacentral:rRNA from 1 species
ACAUGAUAUCAAGCAAACCAACCCGCUGAACUUAAGCAUCGGUCGACUGCAGGGUACCGAGCUCGAAUUCCCUAUAGUGA